rnacentral:rRNA from 1 species
UACAGAGGGUGCAAGCGUUAAUCGGAAUUACUGGGCGUAAAGCGCACGCAGGCGGAUAUGUAAGUUGGGUGUGAAAUCCCUGGGCUUAACCUAGGAACUGCAUUCAAUACUGCAUAUCUAGAGUACAGUAGAGGGGGGUAGAAUUUCCGGUGUAGCGGUGAAAUGCGUAGAUAUCGGAAGGAAUACCAGUGGCGAAGGCGGCCCCCUGGACUAAUACUGACGCUCAGGUGCGAAAGCGUGGGGAGCAAACGGG